UACGUAGGGACCAAGCGUUGUUCGGAUUUACUGGGCGUAAAGGGCGCGUAGGCGGCAAUUCAAGUCAGCUGUGAAAUCUCCGGGCUUAACUCGGAACGGUCAGCUGAUACUGCUUUGCUAGAGUGCAGAAGGGGCAAUCGGAAUUCUUGGUGUAGCGGUGAAAUGCGUAGAUAUCAAGAGGAACACCUGAGGUGAAGACGGGUUGCUGGGCUGACACUGACGCUGAGGAGCGAAAGUGUGGGGAGCGAACAGG
rnacentral:rRNA from 1 species